rnacentral:rRNA from 1 species
UACAGAGGGUGCAAGCGUUGCUCGGAAUCACUGGGCGUAAAGCGCACGUAGGCGGCUUGUUAAGUCAGGGGUGAAAUCCUGGAGCUCAACUCCAGAACUGCCUUUGAUACUGGCGAGCUUGAGUUCGGGAGAGGUGAGUGGAACUGCGAGUGUAGAGGUGAAAUUCGUAGAUAUUCGCAAGAACACCAGUGGCGAAGGCGGCUCACUGGCCCGAUACUGACGCUGAGGUGCGAAAGCGUGGGGAGCAAACAGG